UGGCGGCGUGCCUAUACAUGCAAGUCGAGCGGACAGAUGGGAGCUUGCUCCCUGAUGUUAGCGGCGGACGGGUGAGUAACACGUGGGUAACCUGCCUGUAAGACUGGGAUAACUCCGGGAAACCGGGGCUAAUACCGGAUGCUUGUUUGAACCGCAUGGUUCAAGCAUAAAAGGUGGCUUCGGCUACCACUUACAGAUGGACCCGCGGCGCAUUAGCUAGUUGGUGAGGUAAUGGCUCACCAAGGCAACGAUGCGUAGCCGACCUGAGAGGGUGAUCGGCCACACUGGGACUGAGACACGGCCCAGACUCCUACGGGAGGCAGCAGUAGGGAAUCUUCCGCAAUGGACGAAAGUCUGACGGAGCAACGCCGCGUGAGUGAUGAAGGUUUUCGGAUCGUAAAGCUCUGUUGUUAGGGAAGAACAAGUACCGUUCGAAUAGGGCGGUACCUUGACGGUACCUAACCAGAAAGCCACGGCUAACUACGUGCCAGCAGCCGCGGUAAUACGUAGGUGGCAAGCGUUGUCCGGAAUUAUUGGGCGUAAAGGGCUCGCAGGCGGUUUCUUAAGUCUGAUGUGAAAGCCCCCGGCUCAACCGGGGAGGGUCAUUGGAAACUGGGGAACUUGAGUGCAGAAGAAGAGAGU
rnacentral:rRNA from 1 species